rnacentral:rRNA from 1 species
CUACGGGUUGCUGCAGUGAGGAAUAUUGCACAAUGGGGGGAACCCUGAUGCAGCAACGCCGCGUGGAGGAUGACGCAUUUCGGUGUGUAAACUCCUUUUAUAUGUCAAGAAAAUGACGGUAGCAUAUGAAUAAGCGCCGGCUAACUCCGUGCCAGCAGCCGCGGUAAUACGGAGGGCGCAAGCGUUACUCGGAAUCACUGGGCGUAAAGGACGCGUAGGCGGGAUUGUAAGUCAGGUGUGAAAGCCUAUGGCUCAACCAUAGAAUUGCACUUGAAACUACAAACCUAGAGUAUGGGAGGGGCAGAUGGAAUUAGUGGUGUAGGGGUAAAAUCCGUAGAUAUCACUAGGAAUACCGAAAGCGAAGGCGAUCUGCUGGAACAUUACUGACGCUGAGGCGUGAAAGCGUGGGGAGCAAACAGGAUUAGAUACCCCAGUAGUC